CCUCCAUUUAAUUUAACUUUUAGAAAUUAUUUCUUUGUUUUGUAGUAGCUCCUCCUAAGAAGCCAAAGCUUUGCUCUUUCGAAUUUACCCUUCUUCACUUGUAGCCCAGGUCCCCAAAUUCAGCAAACAUCCUGACUGUUCUAGUUAUUAUUCUUAGCACGGCAGAACACAACAAUACCAAACUGUCCCUCAAGAGGAUCGUUUGUAGCUUUGGCUCUUGGGCAUUCGACCGGCGCCGAGUGUUAGCUAGAGAGAAAGGUAAGCCCAAACCAAAGAUGCUGAAAAGCAAAAUCCAAAGCCUGGAAAGGAUUUCAUCAUCGUUGUCAGUUGUCUUCAAGAUUUUGAAGAGCCGUAAUAUUGCUACUACUACUGGUAGUAGCAGCAGCAAUGGAGUUCCAAAAGAGAAGGUAGAUUGCGUGGUGAUAGGGGCAGGUGUGGUGGGAUUAGCAGUAGCGAGAGAGCUUACUUUAAAGGGCAGAGAGGUGUUGGUGUUAGAAUCAGCUUCCACCUUCGGCACUGGCAUCAGUUCCCGCAACAGCGAGGUCAUCCAUGCCGGCAUCUACUAUCCUCCCAAUUCUCUCAAGGCAAUCUUAUGUGUAAGAGGAAGAGAAUUGCUUUACAAAUAUUGCUCUGAACACAAUAUCCCUCAUAACCAAAUUGGUAAACUUAUAGUAGCAACAGGAUCUUCAGAGAUUCCAAAGUUGCAUAAUCUAAUGAAUAAUGGGAUAAAAAAUGGGGUUGGUGGUUUGGUUAUGAUGGAAGGUUCAGACGCUACGAGGAUGGAACCUGAAUUGCGAUGUUUGAAAGCCUUACUAUCACCAGUUUCUGGGAUUGUUGAUACACAUUCCUUGAUGCUGUCUUUGCUGGGUGAAGCUGAAAAUCAUGGCACAACCUUCUCCUAUAAUACUACAGUUAUUGGUGGCCAUAUUGAAGAAAAUCGCCUAAGCCUUCAUAUUUCUGAAACCAAACACCUUGAAAAUUGGAAUGGAAAAUUUCCAUUGCAACCAGAGAUGGUACUCAUUCCUAAGCUUGUAGUGAACUCUGCUGGCUUGAGUGCCCCUGUCCUUGCAAAGCGAUUUGAUGGCCUCCGUAGUGCAGUUAUUCCUCCUGCCUAUUACGCUCGCGGGUGCUACUUCACGCUAUCAAAUACUACAAUAUGUCCUUUCAAACAUUUGAUUUAUCCUCUACCAGAGGAUGGUGGCAUUGGUGUGCAUGUUACUUUGGAUUUGAAUGGUCAGGUCAAGUUUGGCCCCAAUGUAGAAUGGAUUGAUGGUAUUGAUGACGUUUCAAGCUUCCUAAACAAGUUUGACUAUUCUGUAUGUACGAAUCGUGCAAAGCUAUUUUACCCAUUGAUAAGGAAGUACUACCCAAAUCUAAAAGAUGGGUCUCUCGAUCCAGGUUAUGCAGGGAUUCGACCAAAGCUUUCAGGUCCUCGACAGUCUCCAGUUGAUUUUGUGAUACAGGGGUUUGUUAGAACAUACAUAUGGGUAACAAUGUGUUGAACACACUAUGUGCUGCCCAAACAGAGCUGUGGACUGUAGUAACCUCAUUUUGGAAAGAAAGAAAAAGAACGGCGAGGACAUUCAUGGGAUAACUGGCCUUGUUAACCUUUUUGGUAUUGAGUCACCUGGUUUAACUUCAAGCAUGGGAGUUGCAGAACACAUAGCAACCAGAUUCUUCAGAUGUUAAGGAACCCUCUUUGUGCUAUAUAUUAUGAUUUGAAAAUUGCUGAUGAAUGUUCCAGAAUGGGCUAAUCUGUUACAACUUGAUCCACUGUUAAGGUAAUGGUCUGUCUGCUUCAAAUGAACUUCUAGUUAGAUAAAAAACAAAAUUUAGAAAGGAAGGCAAAAAGCUUCAAAGUGGAACUAUAACUAGUUUUACCUUUUUUUUAAUAACUUGUUGAAAAAUCAUGGAGCUGAAGAUAAUUUUGUGUCAGUCAAUGCCUUGCUACUGACCUCCUAGAUACCAUUUUCAGUCUUAGCGCAUGAGUCUUUCAUCCAGGUACCAAAGUGAAAAUUACCUCAGCUUGCUUAUAUGGUAUAAUAAGCCAAUACUACAACGACAGUUGUGCUUGUAAAGUACAUCUCGUGAAAAUGAUUAAAGUUUGAAUUUUCACAGAAAAAAUAUCCUCUUCCCUUCUCUCUUUUCCUCCCAUCUCUCCCUCUUCUUCCGAACACACUUCCAAGUCUCAUCCUGUCUCUUCUUGUCUCUCCUCCAAACACUUUGUCACACGUCUUUGUUUCAAAUUUAUGAAUCCCUCACCUUAGCUGGCUACUCUCAUUACCACAAGGUGCUUCUUCCUUCCUUCCCUUUGUUUAUUUGUUUUAAUUUUCAUUUUAAGCAAUUUUUGUAUAUGUGGUUGCUUUUUUGCCUCUGCGUGUUUGUUUUAUGUAUCUCAUAUUUGGUUUUAUUCAAUUUGCGGUUUCAUUUUCAUGUUCUAACUAACCUGUUUGGGUUUCAUCUUGUGUAUAUAUGACUACAUGUAUUAAGUUCUGGCUUUUCAUUGUCAUGUUUGUCUUUUUUAUAAUUUCUUCAUUUUUUUGGGGGUUGUAAGAAUAUGGCCGCAUGCAUUUCAUGAUUGGUGUUCUCAUUGUUUAACUGAUCGGAUUUCUUUCCUUUUGGUUUGCUUUUUUUUUCUUUUACAUGCAUGCAUGUAUCUCAUUGCAAAACCGAUUUGGUUUUGUAAAGUUGGUGGUUUGGGUUCUCAUUGUGGAACCGAUUGGUUUUCUUGCUUCCCAAUUUCUUCUAGUUCUGCAGGUUAGAAACCAGACAGCCCUUUUUUUUCCCCUUUUGGAUUCCCGUUGUAGGUGUUAACAACUCUAUUCUGAACAACGAGCCUCAUUCCUUUCCGGUGAUUUUCUGGCAGUGUCUGCAACAUCCAGUGUAAUAAUUGAAGAUUAUAAACUUAUUUCACCAAAUAUGGGUUCCUUCACAAGAACUCAGUAACUUUACCAUGAAAAUGUAAUCAUCUUGUAUAAAUGGCUGUUUAUUAUUUUCUUCACUA